ensembl:lncRNA
CUUCAACCUCAGGAGGCUGAAGAAAUGUGUCUUGUCACCAAAAGCACUCACAAACUUCUACAGAUGCACAAUCGAGAGCAUCCUGUCGGGCUGUAUCACCGCCUGGUACGGCAACUGCUCCGCCCACAACCGUAAGGCUCUCCAGAGGGUAGUGAGGUCUGCACAACGCAUCACCGGGGGCAAACUACCUGCCCUCCAGGACACCUACACCACCCGAUGUUACAGGAAGGCCAUAAAGAUCAUCAAGGACAACAACCACCCGAGCCACUGCCUGUUCACCCCGCUGUCAUCCAGAAGACGAGGUCAGUACAGGUGCAUCAAAGCUGGGACCGAGAGACUGAAAAACAGCUUCUAUCUCAAGGCCAUCAGACUGUUAAACAGCUUCUAUCUCAAGGCCAUCAGACUGUUAAACAGCUUCUAUCUCAAGGCCAUCAGACUGAAAAACAGCUUCUAUCUCAAGGCCAUCAGACUGAAAAACAGCUUCUAUCUCAAGGCCAUCAGACUGAAAAACAGCUUCUAUCUCAAGGCCAUCAGACUGUUAAACAGCUUCUAUCUCAAGGCCAUCAGACUGUUAAACAGCUUCUAUCUCAAGGCCAUCAGACUGUUAAACAGCUUCUAUCUCAAGGCCAUCAGACUGUUAAACAGCUUCUAUCUCAAGGCCAUCAGACUGUUAAACAGACACCACUAACUCAGAGAGGCUGCUGCCAACAUACUGACCCGAAUCACUGGCCUCUUUAAACAAUGUCACUCUAAAUAAUGGCACUAUAAUAAUGUUUACAUAUCCUACAUUACUCAUAUCAUAUGUACUGUAUUUUAUACCAUCUCUUGUAUCUUGCCUUUGCCGCUCAGCCAUCACUCAUCCAUAUAUUAAUAUGUACAUAUUCUCAUUCACCCCUUUAGAUGUGUGUGUAUUAGGUAGAUGUUGUGGAAUUGUUAGAUUACUUGAUUACUUGUUAGAUAUUACCACACUGUCGGUACAAGAAACACAAGCAUUUCGCUACACUCGCAUUAAUUACCAUCUGCUAACCAUGUGUAUGUGACCAAUAACAUCUGCUAACCAUGUGACCAAUAACAUCUGCUAACCAUGUGAUCAAUAACAUCUGCUAACCAUGUGUAUGUGACCAAUAACAUCUGCUAACCAUGUG